GGCUCUCACCCGAAAGGCCCGGGUUCAAUUCCCGGCGUGGGAAACGCAACAAGCAGAAAAAUAAGAAAAUAU